GCUGUUUUUUCCCUAUUUAUGAAAAAUGAGAAAAGUCGUUAAAAAUGGACGAAAAGUAAAGGCUAUAGCCUUACAUUUUUGCUGUUUUUUCCCUAUUUAUGAAAAAUGAGAAAAGUCGCUAAAAAUGGACGAAAAGUAAAGGCUAUAGCCUUACAUUUUUGCUGUUUUUUCCCUAUUUAUGAAAAAUGAAAAAUAGGCUAAAAUGGACGAAAACCAAAGGCUAAAGCCUUACUUUUUUGCUGUUUUUUCCCUAUUUAUGAAAAAUAGGCUAAAAUGGACGAAAAUCAAAGGCUAAAGCCUUACAUUUUUGCUGUUUUUUCCCUAUUUAUGAAAAAUGAGGGCUAAAAAUGGACGAAAAUCAAAGGCUUUAGCCUUAUAUUUUUGCUGUUUUUUUCCUAUUUAUGAAAAAUGAAAAAUAGGCUAAAAUGGACGAAAAUCAAAGGCUAUAGCCUUAUAUUUUUGCUGUUUUUUCCCUAUUUAUGAAAUAUGAGAAAA